rfam:Gossypium hirsutum cultivar TM-1 chromosome 21, whole genome shotgun sequence
UGUUAAAAAUUUUAUCUAUUCCUAUUGUUAAAAGCUAGCGUGGUUGACGAAAUAACCAGACAAUUACACAUGGUGUGUUACGUGUAUCUCAUGCUAAUGUACAAGGUCCAGUAUUUAACAGUAGAAAUGGAUAAAACUUUUAACA